GGAACCCACAAGCUUAGUGGUGAAUCCCACAAGGCUUUCGAAGAGGCGAAAAAUUUACAGAUCGCCUUGUUCACAUUUGGCUUCUGGUGUAUGGAAUUUGAGCCGUGAGCAGGGAAAUAAGCUACUAGCGAGUAGAUUCAAAGGGGAUUGCUUGUACAUAUGUGAUUGGCCUGGUUGUAUUCACAUGGAGGAGAAGAGGAAUUACAUGCUAUUUCGUGGGAUUUUC
rnacentral:misc_RNA from 1 species